GAGGGUCGUCAGGCCUCCUACUGUUCUUCACCAAACCCGCGUACCUAUUGCCGGAUAUUCUGUCUCUGCCUCGGCGGCGGCCCCAGGGGGGGCCUCUGCCCGCCCCGCCGGGCGGGUGUCGCCGGCGGCAACCUAACCAUAGAACGUUAUAACUUUUUAUAUCAAACAAAACCUAUUA
rnacentral:misc_RNA from 1 species